rnacentral:lncRNA from 1 species
GCAAGUCUUCGCUUUCUAUUAAAUCAUCCCCACACCCUCCUCUUCUUCUGAUUUCUUCCCUUGCAACCAGACACACUCACUCAGAGACAGUUGAAGGAAAUGGCCAUCGUCACCUCCGCCGCAGUCGCCAUCCCCUCAUUCACCGGCCUCAAGGCCUCCGGCGCAACCAUGACCCGCGCUGCCGCCACCGUCAAGACCAUCACCGCACCGGCCCCGAGGCUCGUGGCCAAGGCUGCACUGAAGGACGUGGGAGUGGCCGUCGUCGCCACCGCCGCCAGCGCUUUGCUCGCCAGCAAUGCCAUGGCCAUGGAGGUCUUGCUCGGCAGCAGCGACGGAGGCCUGGUGUUUGUGCCGUCGACCAUCACCGUCCCCGCCGGAGAGAAGAUCACGUUCAAGAACAAUGCUGGCUUCCCUCACAACGUUGUGUUCGACGAGGAUGAAGUUCCGUCCGGCGUCGACGUAUCGAAAAUCUCGAUGUCCGAAGAGGAUCUGUUGAAUGCACCUGGAGAAGUGUACUCUGUGACUUUGACCGAGAAAGGUACCUACAGUUUCUACUGUUCUCCUCACCAGGGUGCUGGUAUGGUGGGAAAGGUGACCGUUAAUUAAGUUAGUUUAUAUGAAUGACGAUGAAUUUGCAAGGAACAUCUCAU